rnacentral:rRNA from 1 species
AUUGAACGCUGGCGGCAGGCCUAACACAUGCAAGUCGAACGAGUGGCGGACGGGUGAGUAAUGUCUGGGAAACUGCCUGAUGGAGGGGGAUAACUAAUGGAAACGGUAGCUAAUACCGAAUACCCUCAGAUGUGCCCGGAUGGGAUUAGCUAGUUGGUGGGGUAACGGCACACCAAGGCGCCGAUCCCUAGCUGGUCUGAGAGGGUGCACAGCCACACUGGAAUUGAGACACGGUCCAGACUCCUACGGGAGGCAGCAGGGGGGAAUAUUGCACAUGGGGCGGAAGCCUGAUGCAGCCAUGCCGCGUGUAUGAAGAAGGCCUUCGGGUUGUAAAGUACUUUCAGCGGGGAGGCGUUACCCGCAGAAGAAGCACCGGCUAACUCCGUGCCAGCAGCCGCGGUAAUAC